AGACCUCAAAUCAGUCAGGACUACCCGCUGAACUUAAGCAUAUCAAUAAGCGGAGGAAAAGAAACUAACAAGGAUUCCCCUAGUAACGGCGAGUGAAGUGGGAAAAGCUCAACUUUGAAAUCUGGUACUUUCAGUAUCCGAAUUGUAGUCUCAAGAAGUGUUUUCUGUGCCGGUCCAUGUAUGAGUCUGUUGGAACACAGCGUCAUAGAGGGUGACAACCCCGUUCAUGACAUGGAUCCCGGUGCUUUGUGAUACACUCUCGAAGAGUCGAGUUGUUUGGGAAUGCAGCUCAAAUUGGGUGGUAAAUUCCAUCUAAAGCUAAAUAUUGGCGAGAGACCGAUAGCAAACAAGUACCGUGAGGGAAAGAUGAAAAGCACUUUGGAAAGAGAGUUAACAGUACGUGAAAUUGUUGAAAGGGAAACGAUUGAAGUCAGACGUGCGUGAUGCGGUUCAGCUUUAGUUCGCUAGAGUGUACUCCGUAUCUUUGCAGGCCAACAUCGGUUUUGUUAGUCGGAUAAAGGUUUGAGAAAUGUGGCACCUUCGGGUGUGUUAUAGUCUCAGACUGAAUACGAUUGAUGGGACCGAGGAACGCAGCGCGCCGCAAGGCAAAGGUUCCGACCUUUCGCGCUAGGA
rnacentral:rRNA from 1 species